rnacentral:rRNA from 1 species
UACGGGGGGAGCAAGCGUUGUUCGGAUUUACUGGGCGUAAAGAGCGCGCAGGCGGUCGUUCAAGUCGCGUGUGAAAGCCCCCGGCUCAACUGGGGAGGGUCACGCGAUACUGGCGUCUACGAAGGCAGGAGAGGGUAGUGGAAUUCCCGGUGUAGUGGUGAAAUGCGUAGAUAUCAGGAGGAACACCUGCGGCGAAGGCGGGUAGCUGGGCCGACACUGACGCUGAGGCGCGAAAGCCAGGGGAGCGAACGGG